rnacentral:rRNA from 1 species
UACCAGCACCCCGAGUGGUCGGGACGUUUAUUGGGCCUAAAGCAUCCGUAGCCGGUUCUACAAGUCUUCCGUUAAAUCCACCUGCUUAACAGAUGGGCUGCGGAAGAUACUAUAGAGCUAGGAGGCGGGAGAGGCAAGCGGUACUCGAUGGGUAGGGGUAAAAUCCGUUGAUCCAUUGAAGACCACCAGUGGCGAAGGCGGCUUGCCAGAACGCGCUCGACGGUGAGGGAUGAAAGCUGGGGGAGCAGACCGG